UUUUUGAAAAUAAUUUAAAGUCUAAUCUGCCCACUGAUNAAAUUAUUAAAGGGCUGCAGUAUUUUGACUGUGCAAAGGUAGCAUAAUCAUUAGUCUCUUAAUUGGUGACUUGUAUGAAAGAUUGGAUGAAAUAUAUACUGUCUCUAUUUAAUUUAUAAAAUUUAAUUUUUUAGUAAAAAAGCUAAAAUGAGUUUAAAAGACGAGAAGACCCUAUAGAGUUUAAUAAUUUAUUUAAUUAUUAUUAAUAUAUAAAUUUUAAAAUUAAAAUUAAAUAAAUUAUUUUGUUGGGGUGAUAGAAAAAUUAAAUUAACUUUUUUUUUAUUUCAUACAUUAAUUUAUGAAUAAAUGAUCCAUUAAUAAUGAUUAAAAGAAAAAAUUACCUUAGGGAUAACAGCGUAAUUUUUUUUUUUAGUUCAAAUAGGAAAAAAAGUUUGCGACCUCGAU
rnacentral:rRNA from 1 species